GGAUGCAGCAGUGGGGAAUAUUGCACAAUGGGCGAAAGCCUGAUGCAGCGACGCCGCGUGAGGGAUGACGGCCUUCGGGUUGUAAACCUCUUUCAGCACGGAAGAAGCGAAAGUGACGGUACGUGCAGAAGAAGCGCCGGCUAACUACGUGCAGCAGCCGCGGUAAUACGUAGGGCGCAAGCGUUGUCCGGAAUUAUUGGGCGUAAAGAGCUCGUAGGCGGUUUGUCGCGUCUGCUGUGAAAGCCCGGGGCUUAACCCCGGGUGUGCAGUGGGUACGGGCAGACUUGAGUGCAGUAGGGGAGACUGGAAUUCCUGGUGUAGCGGUGAAAUGCGCAGAUAUCAGGAGGAACACCGAUGGCGAAGGCAGGUCUCUGGGCUGUUACUGACGCUGAGGAGCGAAAGCAUGGGGAGCGAGCAGGAUUAGAUACCCUGGUAGUCCAUGCCGUAAACGUUGGGCACUAGGUGUGGGGAACAUUCCACGUUUUCCGCGCCGUAGCUAACGCAUUAAGUGCCCCGCCUGGGGAGUACGGCCGCAAGGCUAAAACUCAAAGGAAUUGACGGGGGCCCGCACAAGCGGCGGAGCAUGCGGAUUAAUUCGAUGCAACGCGAAGAACCUUACCAAGGUCUUGACAUACACCCUUCGACCAUCCAGAAGAUAUUUUUUUCCCUUGGGGGACAAAUUCACAGGUGGUGCAUGGUUGUCGUCAGCUCGUGUCGUGAGAUGUUGGGUUAAGUCCCGCAACGAGCGCAACCCUUAUUGUUAGUUGCCAUCAUUCAGUUGGGCACUCUAGCGAGACUGCCGCAGACAAUGCGGAGGAAGGUGGGGAUGACGUCAAAUCAUCAUGCCCCUUAUGACCUGGGCUACACACGUGCUACGAUGGAGAGUACAACGAGUCGCAAAGCCGCGAGGCUAAGCCAAUCUCUUAAAGCUCUUCUCAGUUCGGAUUGUAGGCUGCAACUCGCCUACAUGAAGCCGGAAUCGCUAGUAAUCGCGGAUCAGCACGCCGCGGUGAAUACGUUCCCGGGCCUUGUACACACCGC
rnacentral:rRNA from 1 species